GCCUCUUCCUUGCCUGCAGAGCACAUAUUACACCACACCCUUAGUUAUACCGUGUUAUGCUGAGCAGGCUCACUUAUCUACUCCUAACAUACAGAAUUGUACAUGAUGUUAGAACUGCUUGGUUUGCAAAGAAUACUAUGCCAAUCUGUGAUUGGCUGAAUAAUGUGUAUCAACCUAGACUAAAAAUCUAUAUAUCCUUUUUGCUGUGAAGGAUUAAACAAAAG